ensembl:lncRNA
AUCUUGCCUCACUUUGAGUGCAACAGGCAACCCAUUAUUGUACGCUGACGCUAUCCCCAGCGCGGCCGCGUAAACAUCAGUUAGCAGCUUUGCAUAAUUCAUGCAACACCCUGCCUUAUCUCCACCUCCUCUUAGCAAUGAUAGCGUAUGACAGCGCAGGGCACGGGGGUCGGUGAGGGUCUGCACGGCAGGUGGCCGCCGGGAACCUUCCUGUUUCUGAAGCAAUCGGCCUCUGGCAACGGUUGACCUCGUAACACGCGCGCUCACACUCAUACAUACUAACCAAUAGUGUGUCAGCCAUGGCAGUGUAGCAACCCAGGGAGCAUGUCCAACAUGCUGAGUCAACAACAAGGGGAGCUCGAGUGGCAGAGAGGACGGCGGCCUCGGGGGCCUGCUCGCGAUGUAGCUAUGUCACUGCACAAAGCGGCGUUGACAGGCCGAGUAGAUAAAACACAGGCGCUAGAAUUUAAAAAAAUUAAAAAAAAAUCACGUAUCCUCGUAAGCGAGGGCUGCUCAGUAUUCCUGACUGGACAUGCACGAAACCCAAGGAGUAGGGCUUUUUCAGCUUAUUGUCCUUUAGUGAAAACAGCACAUGUGGUCAGACUUUAGAGCGUAAAGUUGCAGAGAAAGGAAAAAAAAAAAAAAGAGUGUGCAUCUCCACAAAGUCAGCCAUUUAUCUGGUGGAAGUACUGUAAAUCUGUACAUAUGUAUAUAAAUGCAUAUAUAUGAAUAAGAUCAGAGGAAAGGUGGCUUGUUUUCGAAUCCGCGACAUUGUAAAGCCACCUGGAAACAUUUGCUCAUUAACAUUUAAGGACGUUGAAAAUGAAAAUAUUUCACAUUCAAUCUCUCACUCGGCUCUUUUGCAGAAAACCCCCCCCAAAAUAAACUAAAACGAGCAUGUGAUGUGAGUGAACAGACUAUAAAUAACAACCUGGCAGAAGGAAGAGGGGAAGAAAAAACAAAAGCAAAGCUUCUUCCAGCUACACGAAUCAACAACGAUAAGUCCACCAGCAGUCAUUUGUCUUCUGUCGAAAUUGGUGUUGAAGCCUCCUUCCCAUUCUUAUCACACUUGGCAGUUUGUGUUAUGUUUAUAUGCAGUUAUACAGUGAGUGCCCUUCUC